rnacentral:tRNA from 1 species
UAUUAUGUAGCUCAGUAGUGGAACAAAUGCUUAGCAUUUUAGAGCCUGGGUUCAAUCCCCAGCAUGACAG